rnacentral:rRNA from 1 species
GCUUAGAGAGGGGUCAAUGUCCUAUCAGCUAGUUGGUAAGGUAAUGGCUUACCAAGGCUAAGACGGGUAGCCGGCCUGAGAGGGUGGUCGGCCACACUGGGACUGAGACACUGCCCAGACUCCUACGGGAGGCUGCAGUCGAGAAUCUUUCGCAAUGCCCGAAAGGGUGACGAAGCGACGCCGCGUGUGGGAAGAAGGCCUUCGGGUUGUAAACCACUGUCGGGAGUUAAGAAAUGUAAGGGUGUUAAUAGCAUCCUUACUUGACUAAGGCUCCGGAGGAAGCCACGGCUAACUCUGUGCCAGCAGCCGCGGUAAUACAGAGGCGGCAAGCGUUGUUCGGAAUUAUUGGGCGUAAAGAGCACGUAGGCGGCUUUGUAAGUCAGUUGUGAAAGCCUUCCGCUUAACGGAAGAACAGCAUCUGAUACUGCAAGGCUAGAGUGCGGAAGGG